AUUACCAAGUGGCUUUCCAAACAGGCCCUAAGCUUGACUCUUAUACUCCGAAAAGAUUCAAUUAAAUUGAAACGGAGUGAGUAAUAGGCUUGAUUGAGGCCGCUGUCUCUGCAGCAUAAGUUUUCUGUUGGUUGCCACUUUUAGUUUUACGCUUAGGUUAAAGUUUAGAGCAAGUUGCUAGACACGGCAAUCGCGGGCGGCAUUAAGAUCUGGAAAAGUAGCAAAUUUAACUAUAUGUGGCUUGAAAAUUUCAUUGACUUAAUGGUUUUUCUUCUUGUCUGGUUUCAUGGAUUCAGCUUUUUUUUUUUUUUUUUUUUUUUUUUUAAAGGUUUGCUAGCCGCAGCAAAAACGGAAAGAGUCUCGGAAAUUGGAGGUUUUCCUCCUUUUGUGUUACGGCUGGCAGAAAAUAAGAGUAUCUAUGAUGAAAAGAUGAAGAUGGAAAGGUGGGAGAGAUCAAAUCGCAUGUGUAUGAUGAUCAUGAAGAAGGUCAUUCCAGAAAGUGAUCACAUAGCCGCUAUUCCAAAGGACAAAAGGAAAGACAAGAAGAGAAAGAAUAAGGAAGUUACGGAUACGAGAAGUUACGGAUACGACAACACAGAAGAAACAACAUAAGGAACCAUCUACAUAUGGUUGUUUCUUUUGCGAAGCUGCAGGCCAUAAGAAGAAGCAGUGCUCUAACUAUCAUGCCUGGCGUGAAAAGAAAGGUACGCUUCUUAAUUUUGUUUGUUCUGAGGUUAAUUUGACUUCGGUACCAAGACACACAUGGUGGAUAGAUUUUGGUGCAACAACUCACGUCAGUGGGUCUAUGCAGGGUUGUCUGAAUUGUCGAAAGUUUAAUAAUUGUGAAAGAUACAUUAACGUUGGUGAUGGCAAGUCGGUGAAAGUCGAAGCAAUUGGAACCUUUAGAUUAUUGUUAAGAAUUGGUUUUUAUUUGGAUUUGAAAGAGACAUUUAUUGUACCAUAUUUUAGACAGAAUUUGAUUUCCAUUUCGACUUUGGACAAACUUAGUUAUUGUUGUUCAUUUGGAAAUAUAAAGUUUAGUCUUUCUCAUAAUUCAAAA